GACGAACGCUGGCGGCGUGCUUAACACAUGCAAGUCGAACGGAAAGGCCCUGCUUUUGUGGGGUGCUCGAGUGGCGAACGGGUGAGUAACACGUGAGUAACCUGCCCUUGACUUUGGGAUAACUUCAGGAAACUGGGGCUAAUACCGGAUAGGAGCUCCUGCUGCAUGGUGGGGGUUGGAAAGUUUCGGCGGUUGGGGAUGGACUCGCGGCUUAUCAGCUGGUUGGUGGGGUAGUGGCUUACCAAGGCUUUGACGGGUAGCCGGCCUGAGAGGGUGACCGGCCACCUUGGGACUGCGAUACGCCCCAGACUCCUACGGUACGCAGCAGUGGGGAAUAUUGCACAAUGGGCCGAAGCCUGAUGCAGCAACGCCGCGUGCGGGAUGACGGCCUUCGGGUUGUAAACCGCUUUCGCCUGUGACGAAGCGUGAGUGACGGUAAUGGGUAAAGAAGCACCGGCUAACUACGUG
rnacentral:rRNA from 1 species